UACGUAGGGUGCAAGCGUUGUCCGGAAUUAUUGGGCGUAAAGAGCUCGUAGGCGGUCUGUCGCGUCUGCUGUGAAAACUCGGGGCUUAACCCCGGGCCUGCAGUGGGUACGGGCAGACUAGAGUGCGGUAGGGGAGACUGGAAUUCCGUGGUGUAGCGGUGAAAUGCGCAGAUAUCAGGAGGAACACCGGUGGCGAAGGCGGGUCUCUGGGCCGGUAAACUGACGCUGGAGGAGCGAAAGCCGUGGGGAGCGAACAGG
rnacentral:rRNA from 1 species